UACAUUUGCACGGCUAACUCAAAGGUGGUCUGCUGGCUAAAUCCCCUGGAAAGGGGGUGAUGCCUAUGUCGACUUUUCAAGCGCUUAGUUUAAUGCUUGGAACGGGAAUGUUUAUUCUCGCCUUGUUGACGUAUAUAGACAAAAAGAAAUAGACCACCCUUUGAGGCCUAGGAAACUUCUAGGGUAGGUCCAUAUCUAAAUACACCUAUAGCCAGCGCUCCAAUGAGGAGCCAGCAUUUGUACAAGCCGGAGUGUUGCAGCACU
rnacentral:sRNA from 1 species